CCAUGAGUAAAGCGGCGUACGGGUGAGUAACACGUGGGUAAUCUACCUUUUAGUGGGGAAUAACCCUGGGAAACCGGGGCUAAUACCGCAUAAUCCUGCAAAGGGAAAGCAGCAAUGCGCUGAAAGAGGAGCCCGCGGCCGAUUAGCUAGUUGGUGAGGUAAUGGCUCACCAAGGCGGUGAUCGGUAGCCGGCCUGAGAGGGCACACGGCCACACUGGCACUGAAACACGGGCCAG
rnacentral:rRNA from 1 species